rnacentral:rRNA from 1 species
CCCUACUGCUAUCGGGGUGGGACUAAGACAUGCUAGUCGAGCGCCUUGAGCUAUGGCGAGGCGCGGCGUACAGCUCAGUAACACGUGGCUAACCUACCCUUAGGACGGAGACAACCCCGGGAAACUGGGGCUAAUAUCUGAUAGGUGAGGAGGCUUGGAAUGGUUCUUCGCUGAAAAGGCGUUGAAACCAUGCUUUUCAGCGUCGCCUAAGGAUGGGGCCGCGUCCGAUCAGGUUGUUGGUGGGGUAACGGCUCACCAAGCCUAUAACCGGUACGGGCCGUGAGAGCGGGAGCCCGGAGAUGGGCACUGAGACAAGGGCCCAGGCCCUACGGGGCGCAGCAGUCGCGAAAACUCCGCAAUGCGCGAAAGCGUGACGGGGCUACCCCGAGUGCCGUCCGCUGAGGAUGGCUUUUCCCCGGUGUAAUGAGCCGGGGGAAUAAGGAGAGGGCAAGUCUGGUGUCAGCCGCCGCGGUAAUACCAGCUCUCCGAGUGGUAGGGACGAUUAUUGGGCUUAAAGCGUCCGUAGCCGGCUUAGCAAGUCUUCUGUUAAAUUCAGCGACCUAAUCGUUGAGCCGCGGGAGAUACUACUAGGCUAGGAGGCGGGAGAGGCCGACGGUAUUCUCGGGGUAGGGGUGAAAUCCUAUAAUCCCGGGAGGACCACCAGUGGCGAAGGCUGUCGGCUAGAACGCGCUCGACGGUGAGGGACGAAAGCUGGGGGAGCGAACCGGAUUAGAUACCCGGGUAGUCCCAGCUGUAAACGAUGCGGGCUAGGUGUUGGGGUGGCUACGAGCCACUUCAGUGCCGCAGGGAAGCCAUUAAGCCCGCCGCCUGGGGAGUACGGCCGCAAGGCUGAAACUUAAAGGAAUUGGCGGGGGAGCACCACAAGGCGUGAAGCUUGCGGUUC